AAGGCCGAGUGGAUAAGGACUCGGUAUGAAGGGAGCCCGAUUGAGGAAACGAGGCUGACAGUUAUUUGUCGUGGGCAGUUGCACCCAGCGAACGAAACGUGCUCUUAACCGAAAGGUGCGACCUCGUGCAUCCCACGUAGGAGAGGUGGUGUUGAAAAGGAUCCUUCCUCCUCAACGAUCAUAGGGGCAAGUGGACAUACAGUUAUGGAUCCCAUUCGUGGUCAAGAAGGCAUUCUCUGGUAGAGCCUUG
rnacentral:lncRNA from 1 species